UACGUAGGGUGCAAGCGUUAAUCGGAAUUACUGGGCGUAAAGCGUGCGCAGGCGGUUUUGUAAGUCAGAUGUGAAAUCCCCGGGCUUAACCUGGGAACUGCGUUUGAAACUACAAGGCUAGAGUGUGGCAGAGGGGGGUGGAAUUCCACGUGUAGCAGUGAAAUGCGUAGAGAUGCGGAGGAACACCGAUGGCGAAGGCAGCCCCCUGGGCCAAUACUGACGCUCAGGCACGAAAGCGUGGGGAGCAAACAGG
rnacentral:rRNA from 1 species